rnacentral:rRNA from 1 species
UACGUAGGCAGCAAGCGUUGUUCAGAGUUACUGGGCGUAAAGGGUGUGUAGGCGGUUGUUUAAGUUUGGUGUGAAAUCUCCCGGCUCAACCGGGAGGGUGCGCCGAAUACUGAAUGACUUGGAGUGCGGGAGAGGAAAGUGGAAUUCCUGGUGUAGCGGUGAAAUGCGUAGAUAUCAGGAGGAACACCGGUGGUGUAGACGGCUUUCUGGACCGUAACUGACGCUGAGACACGAAAGCGUGGGUAGCAAACAGG